UACGUAGGGCGCAAGCGUUGUCCGGAAUCAUUGGGCGUAAAGAGCUCGUAGGUGGUCUGUUACGUCUGCUGUGAAAUCCUAGGGCUUAACCCUGGGCCUGCAGUGGAUACGGGCAGACUAGAGGUAGGUAGGGGAGAAUGGAAUUCCCGGUGUAGCGGUGAAAUGCGCAGAUAUCGGGAGGAACACCGGUGGCGAAGGCGGUUCUCUGGGCCUGACCUGACGCUGAGGAGCGAAAGCGUGGGGAGCGAACAGG
rnacentral:rRNA from 1 species